rnacentral:tRNA from 1 species
AGCCAUGUGGCGUAGUGGCUUGAGUGUUGGACUAUGACUCUAGAGACCAGGGUUUGAUUCCCAGCUGGGCCA